GCCCGAGUGGCGAAACUGGCAGACGCGCACGCUUUAGGGGCGUGUGGUUCACACCAUGUGGGUUCAACUCCCACCUCGGGCA
rnacentral:tRNA from 1 species